rnacentral:lncRNA from 1 species
UUUGAGUUUCAUCUGCAUCUCUUUUUCAUUUUCUUUUUGGCCUACCAGGUGGCCUUCUUAUUAUUGGAGGUAGUGGAGGGACUAAGUUAGUCUUAGGCCACAUAUUCUGAUCGUUAAGUGGUUGGAGAAAAUGAGAAUAGGUUCUCAGAUAUGUUUUCUUAUGAACGUAACAAUGUACAAACUCUUCAGGCUUCUUUUUUAAAAAAUAGAUACAUUGUAUGGCAUGGGCACAAGGUAUACCAAUCAACUGCUAUUUGAAACAGCUGCAUUCAUACUUAUCCAAGUGCACAACAUAUUGAUUAACAUCUUGUUCAACUUCAUAUCUGCUGUCACCAGCCCAUGUAGCAAGAUAGUACCAUGAGACUUCUUUAUUCUUUUCCAGUUUCUUCAUGAUCUUAGGACAGAUUGGAUAAUCAUAUUUCAGGAUUAGUUCCCUCUUUCUGAUUGUCCUUGUCAUCACGAUCUUGUGCAUCAUCUUAAACAUUUGUACAAUAGAUUUAUUCCUUGACUGCAGUAUAAAAGAAUUGAAUGUCUUAGAUAAAUUGUUUAGGAGCAUAUCAUACCUUGGCC